UUAUGACCACACCACGUUGAAACACCAGUUCCCGUACGAUCAUCGAAGUUAAGCAACGUCAAGACUGGUCAGUACCUGGAUGGGUAAACUCUUUAGAAUACUAGAUGCUGUCAG